ACAUCCAGAGAACUUAGCAGAGAUGCUUUGGUGGCCUUCGGGAACUCUGAGACAGGUGCUGCAUGGCUGUCGUCAGCUCGUGUUGUGAAAUGUUGGGUUAAGUCCCGNAACGAGCGCAACCCUUUAUCCUUUGUUGCCAGCGAUUCGGUCGGGAACUCAAAGGAGACUGCCGGUGAUAAACCGGAGGAAGGUGGGGAUGACGUCAAGUCAUCAUGGCCCUUACGAGUAGGGCUACACACGUGCUACAAUGGCGCAUACAAAGAGAAGCGACCUCGCGAGAGCAAGCGGACCUCACAAAGUGCGUCGUAGUCCGGAUCGGAGUCUGCAACUCGACUCCGUGAAGUCGGAAUCGCUAGUAAUCGUGGAUCAGAAUGCCACGGUGAAUACGUUCCCGGGCCUUGUACACACCGCCCGUCACACCAUGGGAGUGGGUUGCAAAAGAAGUAGGUAGCUUAACCUUCGGGAGGGCGCUUACCACUUUGUGAUUCAUGACUGGGGUGAAGUCGUAACAAGGUAAGCGUAGUGCU
rnacentral:rRNA from 1 species